rnacentral:rRNA from 1 species
UACAGAGGUCCCAAGCGUUGUUCGGAUUCACUGGGCGUAAAGCGUGCGCAGGCGGUUCGCAAAGUCUGAUGUGAAAGCCCCGGGCUCAACCUGGGAAUUGCAUUGGAAACUGACGAGCUUGAGUGUGGCAGAGGGGGGUGGAAUUCCACGUGUAGCAGUGAAAUGCGUAGAGAUGUGGAGGAACACCGAUGGCGAAGGCAGCCCCCUGGGCUAACACUGACGCUCAGGCACGAAAGCGUGGGG